rnacentral:rRNA from 1 species
UAGAGUUUGAUCAUGGCUCAGAUUGAACGCUGGCGGCAGGCCUAACACAUGCAAGUCGAGCGGUAGAGAGAAGCUUGCUUCUCUUGAGAGCGGCGGACGGGUGAGUAAUGCCUAGGAAUCUGCCUGGUAGUGGGGGAUAACGUUCGGAAACGGACGCUAAUACCGCAUACGUCCUACGGGAGAAAGCAGGGGACCUUCGGGCCUUGCGCUAUCAGAUGAGCCUAGGUCGGAUUAGCUAGUUGGUGAGGUAAUGGCUCACCAAGGCGACGAUCCGUAACUGGUCUGAGAGGAUGAUCAGUCACACUGGAACUGAGACACGGUCCAGACUCCUACGGGAGGCAGCAGUGGGGAAUAUUGGACAAUGGGCGAAAGCCUGAUCCAGCCAUGCCGCGUGUGUGAAGAAGGUCUUCGGAUUGUAAAGCACUUUAAGUUGGGAGGAAGGGCAGUUACCUAAUACGUGAUUGUUUUGACGUUACCGACAGAAUAAGCACCGGCUAACUCUGUGCCAGCAGCCGCGGUAAUAC